rnacentral:rRNA from 1 species
CGCCGCGUGGAGGAUGAAGGUCUUCGGAUUGUAAACUCCUUUUAUAGGGGAAAAUAAUGAUGGUACCCUAUGAAUAAGCCACGGCUAACUCUGUGC